rnacentral:rRNA from 1 species
UACAUGGGGUGCAAACGUUGCUCGGAAUUAUUGGGCGUAAAGCGCACGUAGGCGGUUCGUUAAGUCGGAUGUGAAAGCCCUCGGCUCAACUGAGGAAGUGCACCCGAAACUGGCGAGCUUGAGUACGAAAGAGGAUCGCGGAAUUCCCGGUGUAGAGGUGAAAUUCGUAGAUAUCGGGAGGAACACCGGUGGCGAAGGCGGCGAUCUGGGUCGAUACUGACGCUGAGGUGCGAAAGCGUGGGGGAGCAAACAGGGAU